GUCUAGAAAACAAAAACAAAAGCUAUACGACGUCAAACAAAUACGAAAGGUUGUGCUAACAUAUGUUACAUGUUUGUUUAGUGCUUGCAGCGAGGGAGUUGGUUCUACCGGAUAGUAGUUGUUUGAAGUAUAAAAACUCAAAAUUUGGGGAGUCUUCAAGUUCAGGGCAUAAUUGGGUAGAAGUUGCAGCCAAACGAGAAGGGAUCUUGGCAGGAAGAUGGAGAAACCGAUGAAGAAGGGGAACAAGAAGUCGAUGAAGGGCAGGUGGUGGGUACAUUUGACGUUGUACAGAAGUUACCCUCUAGUGUAACACAUGUUACAAACAUGUGUUACAUAUGUUCAACCCCUUUGUUACCAAAAAUCGGGGCUGCACAUAUGUAAGACAUGUUUGUAACUUAUGUUACACUAGAGGGUAGCACAUGUAUGAUCAUUUUUGGAUCAUUUGUAUAUAUUUAAGUCUGUAUAAACCUACAACAUCGAAACCCCC